rnacentral:rRNA from 1 species
UACAGAGGGUGCAAGCGUUGUUCGCAAUUAUUGGGCGUAAAGCGCGUGUAGGCGGCUUUGCAAGUCGGGUGUGAAAGCCCUCAGCUUAACUGAGGAAGUGCGCCCGAAACUGCAGAGCUUGAGUACCGGAGAGGAUGGCGGAAUUCCCCAAGUAGAGGUGAAAUUCGUAGAUAUGGGGAGGAACACCGGUGGCGAAGGCGGCCAUCUGGACGGAUACUGACGCUGAGACGCGAAAGCGUGGGUAGCAAACAGG